UAAUACGAAUGGGGCAAGCGUUGUUCGGAAUCACUGGGCUUAAAGCGUGCGUAGGCGGAUUUGCAAGUCAGAAGUGAAAUCCCAGGGCUUAACCCUGGAAUUGCUUUUGAAACUGCAAGUCUAGAAUCUUGAAGAGGUUAGCAGAAUUCCGAGUGUAGAGGUGAAAUUCGCAGAUAUUCGGAGGAAUACCAAUGGCGUAGGCAGCUAACUGGGCAAGUAUUGACGCUGAGGCACGAAAGCGUGGGGAGCAAACAGGAUUAGAUACCCUGGUAGUCCACGCCGUAAACGAUGUGUGCUCGUUGUCGCGAUCUUAGAUCGCGGUAACAAAGCGAAAGUGAUUAGCACACCGCCUGGGGAGUACGGUCGCAAGAUUA
rnacentral:rRNA from 1 species